AACGCUAGCUACAGGCUUAACACAUGCAAGUCGAGGGGAAACGACAUCGAAAGCUUGCUUUUGAUGGGCGUCGACCGGCGCACGGGUGAGUAACGCGUAUCCAACCUGCCCACCACUUGGGGAUAACCUUGCGAAAGUAAGACUAAUACCCAAUGAUAUCUCUAGAAGACAUCUGAAAGAGAUUAAAGAUUUAUCGGUGAUGGAUGGGGAUGCGUCUGAUUAGCUUGUUGGCGGGGUAACGGCCCACCAAGGCGACGAUCAGUAGGGGUUCUGAGAGGAAGGUCCCCCACAUUGGAACUGAGACACGGUCCAAACUCCUACGGGAGGCAGCAGUGAGGAAUAUUGGUCAAUGGACGAGAGUCUGAACCAGCCAAGUAGCGUGCAGGAUGACGGCCCUAUGGGUUGUAAACUGCUUUUAUAAGGGAAUAAAGUGAGUCUCGUGAGACUUUUUGCAUGUACCUUAUGAAUAAGGACCGGCUAAUUCCGUGCCAGCAGCCGCGGUAAUACGGAAGGUCCGGGCGUUAUCCGGAUUUAUUGGGUUUAAAGGGAGCGUAGGCCGGAGAUUAAGCGUGUUGUGAAAUGUAGACGCUCAACGUCUGCACUGCAGCGCGAACUGGUUUCCUUGAGUACGCACAAAGUGGGCGGGAUUCGUGGUGUAGCGGUGAAAUGCUUAGAUAUCACGAAGAACUCCGAUUG
rnacentral:rRNA from 1 species